GACAGAGGGUGCAAACGUUGCUCGGAAUUACUGGGCGUAAAGGGCGUGUAGGCGGGAAGGCAAGUCGGGCGUGAAAUCCCCAGGCUCAACCUGGGAACUGCACUCGAAACUGCCUUUCUUGAGUGCCGGAGAGGAAAGCGGAAUUCCUGGUGUAGAGGUGAAAUUCGUAGAUAUCAGGAGGAACACCGGUGGCGAAGGCGAGUCUCUGGGCAGUAACUGACGCUGAGGAGCGAAAGCGUGGGGAGCGAACAGG
rnacentral:rRNA from 1 species